UAUUUUCACUGCUGUUUUAAUUCACGGAGGCUCUUUGUUUUCUUUCUUUUCAUUCAGCAGGAUCUGUGCUGUAUUGUGACAGAACAAGCUUUCAUGACAUGUUCUCUGCAAGUGCUAAAUUUUCAUCUCCAAACUUACUGACCCUGGAAUAAGCUGAUCCUCGAUCUCAGUGCUCCACUUUCUUUACCUCUCCUGGAACAUAAGGUCUAAUGUCCAAUGUCCAAUGUUCAAUGUCUGGAUUCUGAAUCUCAGAGAGGCUGCCCUGCUGCUGCUUAUGUCUCCUGCUUCCUUCCCAGAAGUCUAUUUGUAACUUCUAUGAGGUCAACAUCAUAUGGUCCACAUACAUACAUGUUUUCUCUACAUGCUGUUUUAUAUGGGAACCCCCAACAACUUCACCAAAAUCUAUUAGAACAAACAAAAUUUCACUAAACUUGCAGGAUAGAAAAGAACACAUAAACUGGUGUGGUGGCACACACUUAUAAUCUCAGCACUUGGGAGGCUGAGGCAGGA